UACGUAGGGCGCAAGCGUUGUCCGGAAUUAUUGGGCGUAAAGAGCUCGUAGGUGGUUUGUCGCGUCUGCCGUGAAAACCCGAGGCUUAACCUCGGGCCUGCGGUGGAUACGGGCAAACUAGAGGUAGGUAGGGGAGAACGGAAUUCCCGGUGUAGCGGUGAAAUGCGCAGAUAUCAGGAGGAACACCGAUGGCGAAGGCAGGUCUCUGGGCCACUACUGACGCUGAGAAGCGAAAGCAUGGGGAGCGAACAGG
rnacentral:rRNA from 1 species